UGCCAGCCGCCGCGGUAAUACGGAGGGGGUUAGCGUUGUUCGGGAUUACUGGGCGUAAAGCGCGCGUAGGCGGACUGUUAAGUUAGAGGUGAAAUCCCGGGGCUCAACCCCGGAACUGCCUUUAAUACUGGCAGUCUAGAGUUCGAGAGAGGUGAGUGGAAUUUCCGGUGUAGCGGUGAAAUGCGUAGAGAUCGGAAGGAACACCAGUGGCGAAGGCGGCUUGCUGGUCCAACAUUGACGCUGAGGUGCGAAAGCGUGGGUAGCGAACAGGAUUAGAUA
rnacentral:rRNA from 1 species